rnacentral:lncRNA from 1 species
GACUCUUGUCUGUGGGCAUGCUUCAUAAUUUUUCAUUAUUUUCUAGAGAUUUCCUAUUUCACAAAUAUUUCUUGGUACAGAUAUCAUUUUACAUGUAGAAAUAAACCUAUCUAGUCUAAAUGCUUAGCUACCAAUCCGUGGAAAUAUCUCCAAGUGGGUGAGCACUAUGGAGUUUUCUCAAGUUCCUCUAUUUAAAAGACAUUAAAUUUUUCUUUUCCCACUGACCCAUUUUAAUUUUUUUUCUUUGAAGAAUGGGAGUCAUGAUGCAUAUGGUGGCAUUGUGCUGCCUGGUGAUGUCACACAAAAUGAAGCCGGUGGGCUUUAGGCAACAGUAUUAAACUUCACCUGAAUUUUGAACAAAUAAGAAUUCUCUCCUUCUAUAACAACUCAAAAGGUAAGAUUAAUUCUGUAUAUUUCUGAAAGACUUUAUUUCCUAAAUUACAAAAGUGACUAUCUUCAGUAAACUCCUAAAUAGAUAAUAGACACAUUUCCUUCUCAGCAUUGACUUCCCAAUAAAUCUGUUUUGUUAAAACGCAUUUAUUUCAACCUUGGGGCUGAAAUUAAAGAUAUGAGAUAUUGUUCUUUGUUGUAUGAAAAACAACCUUCAAGUCACUUUUAUACAGCAAUAUUUGCAGAGAUGUGAAUAAAUGAACUGGAAAUUUUUGAUCCACAUAGGUAAAAUAAAAUAAUUUAGUAUCGUUAUAAUCAGGCAGACCAAAACAUCAAGGUGUGUUCAAAAUGAGGGAAGAAAGCAAGGAUGGAAGAUUCUCUGAAAACAGGACCAAGUCCUGCACCACACCUUACAGAAGAGUAGUUCCAGUUCUACUUACAAUAAAGCAGCAAAAUUAAUCUUAAAGAGAAGAGAGCUGGUGCAGAUCUUCAGGACACCCAAACAUGCCCACGAUGCCUGCCAACUCCAGGAGAAUAGGGAAGGAAGGAGCUGAUCCCUCAGUGAAUACGGAGAGCAGUUAGGAAGCUAAAGCUCCGCCAUAAUUUUACUUCAUUUUUUAAUAAUUCAAUGAAUUGUAUUAUAUUUAUAGUUGUACAACCAUCAUGACAACAUAAUUUUAGAAUAUUUCCAAUAUUCUAAACCCCUAGUCCAUACCUCCCUCCCCUCCCCACCUGUCCUCUUCGGUAAUCAUAAGUUUUUCAAAGUCUUCGAGUCUGUUUCUGUUCUGCAAAUAAGUUCACUUCUAUCUUUUUGAUUUUCUAUUUGAAAAAUGUUGCAUGCCAUUUCUAAUUCACACACACACACACACACACACCCCUGCUAGGGCUUGUGGAAUUCUUUAAAUAAAUCAAAUAGUAAAUGCCUUCUCCAAUUCUAAUUUAAUUAUGAGCACUGAUAAGUUUUCCUGCACUUUGUUAAAGGAAACUCCUUGAAUAAAUUGUGACACAUCCAUUCUGUUCCAUCCAAUAUUGCCAUGCCAUUCAUAAGGAUGAGGGAAAUCUAGAUGUUUUGGCUUGGAAAGAUGAUCACAGUACAUGAAGAUGUGGGGGGAAAGGCAAGCAGCGAAAGAAGAGGUAUAGCUACCCACGUACGCCAGGGUAGCUUAGCUGGUAAGUAGGUAUAAAACAUUUAAAGAAUGAGAUAAGUUAUCUAAGUGACUGCUUUAUAAAUUGAAUAACCGGUCCUUGUGUGAACAAUUUAAAGUUUCAAUUGCAAAACUUCAUACACAAGCAUAACCUGCUCAAUAGUAAAAGAGUCCAUUUCUUUUCAAUCGGCACAAAGAAUAUUUGCCAUUGUUGAGUUAUUCUAUUGAUUACAACAACAACAGUAGAAUAGCUAGGCUGUUUUGUGUUUCUUCUUUCCCUUUCCGGCCCCUCUAUCCUCUAAUUCUUGGGCAACUUUCACAUACAGACUAAUUUUUAAAACUCAUGAGAAGAAUUUAUUCCAGAACAGCACACUCAAGAAAAAAAACCAACAAGAAUUCAGCCUUGCUUCUUUCUAGAAAUUGAAACUGCUCCUGGCUGCUUGGCCCAGAGGAACUCAAAAAUCACAGUUUUAUGUCAUUUCUACUGCAAGCUCUAAAGCAAUCUUGAAGAAAAAAAGAAAAGUAAUCUCUAAUGGGUCACUCUGAGGUGGGAUGAGAAGACAGAAGGACAACCCUUACUUUUCUGGUCAUCAGUCAGAUCUUGUUGCAUGUCUAAUAAGAUAAAUUGUCACAAAAUAGCAAAAGUGUUUCCUUUCAAUAAAGGUGCUGGUUAUGAACAAAUAAAAUAUUUACAGGGUCUUAAAAAUGCACAUUAUUCCUAUUUCUGCCCUCUUAGUAGGCAACAAUUUUGAGACACUUAUUCUUCAUUAUCAGAACAAUAACCACCCAUCUGAACAGUUAACACCUGAUCCUUUGCCAAUAUUUAGUGCCUACAUUAUGCUGGAUCGUUUUACACAAGAAUUAUGCCAACAUCACUGAUCAUUUCUUCUUUAUUUUGCCCUCUCUUUCAUGAAAAUAAAUACAGUUUUACUUGGAAAAACUCUUAGUUCCAAUGCUUACCAAUCUUCCUGAAGUUAUUUUAUUUGAAAACAAACCCUUUCUUAUACCAAACUGAACUCUGCAAGAAUCCAUGGAAUAGCUCAUUUCUAGCUAUUCUAAAUCCAAUUCAUCCUACAUGAACCAGCUAAAAUUAAACCUUACCCCCUAACAGAGCUUCCUCACCCUGAGCACACUUUUAGGGGAGUUCCUCUUUCACUCUUGUCAUCAACUAUAAGCUCUUUUAUCCAUAACAUCAAUGUUUCAAGUAUCCAAGAACUGUUUCUCCACUGGACUCUAGUUCCCAUAGUUCCUGGAAGAAGUAACUAUGACAUACUUUUCUCCUUUCUCUCCUUAGCACAAACCAGGCAUUCAGCCACCACUUCUUGAAUGAAUGAUUGGAUGAAAAAAAAACGAUCAUAUUCCAUGCCUUUUGAAAAGCUUUGGAAGUAACCACCCACGUGUAAAGGUGAUUCUCCCCCAGAUGUUCUAAACCCCCCCUCCAAAUUAUCCAGCUAAUUAAAAGAAGCAAAGACUAGAAUGUUAAAAUAAUAAUAAACACUAAAGGCAGUUUUAGAUUGCAUCUUAAUAGAGUACAUUUGGAAACAUGACUUAAUGAAAUACAAUCCAGUAACACUGUUAUUGUAGGGUAGGCUUUUGGAUUUGGAUUUUUAAGAGUUCCACAGUGGGAGGUAAUAUACUUUAAUGCAAUAUAUAUUUAAUCAUAUAGAAGAGAAAUUAUACCUCCUUAAAGUAUCAUAAGAAGUCCCAAACAAAGACUUCAGGUCCAAACAGACAAGGAGCUGCUUUGAUUUUCCCUGGCUUGAGUAAGACUACCAUAUUUCUGAGCUUCCCAACUGGUGGCCACAUGCUGUUUAAAGGCAUGCUUCCAUACUGAUCUCCUUGUUGGUCCUGGGUUGGGUGGAUGGGGCCUGGGUGGCCAGAGCCCACAGAACAGCUGGAGCCCUUGGACAGUCAUCUUUGGCCACAUAACAACCUUAUUCAUUUACUCUUGUGAGUAUGCCUUAUCCAUAUUGAAUAUGUGUCAUAAUGUGGGAAAGCAUGAGGAGCAUCCAAGGUGACUCUCCU